GAUGAACGCUGGCGGCGUGCUUAACACAUGCAAGUCGAACGAAGCAUUUAGGACAGAUUACUUCGGUUUGAAGUUCUUUAUGACUGAGUGGCGGACGGGUGAGUAACGCGUGGGUAACCUGCCUUGUACUGGGGGAUAGCAGCUGGAAACGGCUGGUAAUACCGCAUAAGCGCACAAUGUUGCAUGACAUGGUGUGAAAAACUCCGGUGGUAUAAGAUGGACCCGCGUCUGAUUAGCUAGUUGGUGAGAUAACAGCCCACCAAGGCGACGAUCACUAGCCGACCUGAGAGGGUGACCGGCCACAUUGGGACUGAGACACGGCCCAGACUCCUACGGGAGGCAGCAGUGGGGAAUAUUGCACAAUGGAGGAAACUCUGAUGCAGCGACGCCGCGUGAGUGAAGAAGUAAUUCGUUAUGUAAAGCUCUAUCAGCAGGGAAGAUAGUGACGGUACCUGACUAAGAAGCUCCGGCUAAAUACGUG
rnacentral:rRNA from 1 species